GUACUGAAACGUUCAUCUGAAGGAGGAUUUAGCAGUAAGCAGGAAAUAGAGCGUCCCGCUGAAACUGGCCCUGAAGCGCGCACACACCGCCCGUCACUCUCCCCAAAAGCCCCAGUCCAUUAACUAAAACCUAAUAAUCAAAAAGGGGAGGCAAGUCGUAACAUGGUAAGUGUACCGGAAGGUGCGCUUGGAAAAAUC
rnacentral:rRNA from 1 species